CACGUAGUUAGCCGUGGCUUUCUGAUUAGGUACCGUCAAGAUGUGCACAGUUACUUACACAUUUGUUCUUCCCUAAUAACAGAGUUUUACGAGCCGAAACCCUUCAUCACUCACGCGGCGUUGCUCCGUCAGGCUUUCGCCCAUUGCGGAAGAUUCCCUACUGCUGCCUCCCGUAGGAGUCUGAACCGUGUCUCAAUUCCAGUGUGGCCGAUCACCCUCUCAGGUCGGCUACGUAUCGUCGCCUUGGUAAGCCGUUACCUUACCAACUAGCUAAUACGGCGCGGGUCCAUCUAUAAGUGAUAGCAAAACCAUCUUUCACUUUAGAACCAUGCGUUCUAAAUGUUAUCCGGUAUUAGCUCGGUUUCCCGAAGUUAUCCCAGUCUUAUAGGUAGGUUACCCAGUGUUACUCACCCGUCCGCCGCUAAACUUCAAAAGGAGCCAAAGCCUCCUUAUCUGUUUCGCUUCGACUUGCAUGUAUUAGGCACGCCGCCAGCGUUCAUCCCUGACACGAGACUAAACAACU
rnacentral:rRNA from 1 species